AGGUGGCUGAGGUCCUUAAUGACCUUCUAGAUGGUAGCGGGGUGAACAGGCCGUGGCUCAGGUGGCUGAGGUCCUUAAUGACCUUCUAGAUGGUAGCGGGGUGAACAGGCCGUGGCUCAGGUGGCUGAGGUCCUUAAUGACCUUCUAGAUGGUAGCGGGGUGAACAGGACGUGGCUCAGGUGGCUGAGGUCCUUAAUGACCUUCUAGAUGGUAGCGGGGUGAACAGGCCGUGGCUCAGGUGGCUGAGGUCCUUGAUGACCUUCUAGAUGGUAGCGGGGUGAACAGGCCAUGGCUCAGGUGGCUGAGGUCCUUAAUGACCUUCUAGAUGGUAGAGGGGUGAACAGGCCGUGGCUCAGGUGGCUGAGGUCCUUAAUGACCUUCUAGAUGGUAGCGGGGUGAACAGGCCGUGGCUCAGGUGGCUGAGGUCCUUAAUGACCUUCUAGAUGGUAGCGGGGUGAACAGGCCGUGGCUCGGGUGGCUGAGGUCCUUGAUGACCUUCUAGAUGGUAGCGGGGUGAACAGGACGUGGC